CCCAGACUCAACAGUCCCAUGCCCAUGUAGGAGAUGUCUCAAUAUUUUUCAGAAAAAGAAAAGGGAUGUUCAUAGUGACUUGUUGUUCAAUGGGAUGGAUCUAACCUACACUCACUAGUUAUACCAUGGUGAAUAAUCGGAUGAGGGAAGCAUGUCUGAAGAUUUUGAUAAUGAAGACGCUGUAGAUGAUGGUGCUGGGGUAUGUGGCAUGCUCAAUACUCUCAUAAGGGGCACAAACAUGCAAAGCAAUGCAAAAAUUGGUGAAGGUGUGGGAGACAUUCAUGUGGAUGAUUCCAGCGGUGAUGAAAGGAACCAGGAGCCAAAUUUAACAGCCAAGGUCUUCUUCGAACUAUUGAAAGAGGCAAAAAAAGAGUUGUACCCAGGUGUUGCCAAAGGGUCACUGCAUUCCUACAAAUCUCGGAAAAGUAAGGAAGGUGAUCCGAGAUCUUGGGCUGGAUUACAAGAAGAUACACGCGUGUGAUGUCAUUUUGAUACACGAGAUACAAUCUAUACAAGUAUGGCUGCUGAAACUUGUGUGUUGUAAUUUUGAAACAUGUGUUAUAUAUCUCAUUGAGAUGGUUUGUUAUAUCCUACUAAAAUCUUGUGUCGUAUGUCCUUAUAUAUAUAUCUUGAUGUAGUGUUGUUGAUUUGC